GACGAACGCUGGCGACGUGCUUAACACAUGCAAGUCGAACGAUGAAGAAGAGACGGAAUUUUUCGGAAUGAAGUAACUUUGGAAUAGUGGCAGACGGGUGAGUAACGCGUGAGCAACCUACCUCUUACAAAGGGAUAGCCUCGGGAAACCGGGAUUAAUACCAUAUAAAACAUAAGUAUUGCAUAAUGCAUAUGUCAAAGCGAUAGCGGUGAGAGAUGGGCUCGCGUCCCAUUAAUUAGUUGGUGAGGUAACGGCUCACCAAGAUAGCGAUGGGUAACCGGCCUGAGAGGGUGAACGGUCACACUGGAACUGAGACACGGUCCAGACUCCUACGGGAGGCAGCAGUGGGGAAUAUUGCACAAUGGAGGGAACUCUGAUGCAGCGACGCCGCGUGAGCGAUGAAGGCUUUCGAGUCGUAAAGCUCUGUUCUAUGGGAAGAAUAAGACGGUACCAUAGGAGCAAGCCCCGGCUAACUACGUGCCAGCAGCCGCGGUAAUACGUAGGGGGCGAGCGUUGUCCGGAAUUAUUGGGCGUAAAGGGUGCGCAGGCGGUUAGACAAGUUGGAUGUGAAAUCUUGUAGCUCAACUACAACAAGCAUCCAAAACUGUAUAACUUGAGUCAAGGAGAGGUAAGUGGAAUUCCUGGUGUAGCGGUGAAAUGCGUAGAUAUCAGGAGGAAUACCGGUGGCGAAGGCGACUUACUGGACUUGUACUGACGCUCAUGCACGAAAGCGUGGGGAGCAAACAGG
rnacentral:rRNA from 1 species